rnacentral:rRNA from 1 species
CUGACCCCUUCCGUGCCGCAGUUAACACAAUAAGUAUUCCACCUGGGGAGUACGACCGCAAGGUUGAAACUCAAAGGAAUUGACGGGGGCCCGCACAAGCAGUGGAUUAUGUGGUUUAAUUCGACGCAACGCGAAGAACCUUACCAGGAUUUGACAUCCAACUAACGAAGUAGAGAUACAUUAGGUGCCCUUCGGGGAAAGUUGAGACAGGUGGUGCAUGGUUGUCGUCAGCUCGUGUCGUGAGAUGUUGGGUUAAGUCCCGCAACGAGCGCAACCCCUAUUGUUAGUUGCUACGCAAGAGCACUCUAGCGAGACUGCCGUUGACAAAACGGAGGAAGGCGGGGACGACGUCAAAUCAUCAUGCCCCUUAUGUCCUGGGCUACACACGUAAUACAAUGGUGGUUAACAGAGGGAAGCAAUAGGGCGACCUGGAGCAAAUCCCUAAAAGCCAUCUCAGUUCGGAUUGCAGGCUGCAACUCGCCUGCAUGAAGCUGGAAUUGCUAGUAUCGCGAUCAGCUG